AACGAACGCUGGCGGCAGGCCUAAAACAUGCAAGUCGAGCGCUCCAGCAAUGGAGAGCGGCGCACGGGUGCGUAACGCGUGGGAAUGUGCCUCUGGGUGCGGAACAACACCGGGAAACUGGUGCUAAUACCGCAUGAUGACUUCGGUCCAAAGAUUUAUCGCCCAGAGAUCAGCCCGCGUCGGAUUAGGUAGUUGGUAGGGUAAUGGCCUACCAAGCCUACGAUCCGUAGCUGGUCUUAGAGGAUGAUCAGCCACACUGGAACUGAGACACGGUCCAGACUCCUACGGGAGGCAGCAGUUAGGAAUAUUGGACAAUGGGCGAAAGCCUGAUCCAGCCAUGCCGCGUGAAUGAUGAAGGCCUCGGUUGUAAAGUUCUUUCAGGUGUGACGAUAAUAGACGGUAACACCAGAAGAAGACUCCGGCUAAACUACGUGCCAGCAGCCGCGGUAAU
rnacentral:rRNA from 1 species